ACAAAAUGGCGACACGUGGUUAGCAUUCGUCGCCAACGAGAAAUUGGGGUCGGCCCGAAAGCUCUAGAAUGCACCCCUAUUCCUCCCCGGGGCCAUUCCCGCUCAACGAGUUUUAUGACCUAAAAAACCCCACAGGCUGGUCUGAAGGUCGGAGGCCUAAUUUUAACGCGUUUUCCUCCCUUUAAUUUGAAACGGGAACGCGAAUAACUAAAAUAGGAAGACACUUAAAGAUGAAGUGCUUAAUUCAAGGUCACAGAAUGUCGGGGAUGGACCUCCAGAUUUCCUUACUGACCUGCAUUAUCUUGUGGAUACCUGAGUGAAUUCCACACCACCCAUUUUAUAGAUGAAGCCACUGAGACGUGGAGCAACUGACUGAGUAGUCACUGCCCCACCCCUGCCUGGAGCCUCACACAUGACUUCUCUUAGUGACCACAGGUGAGACGUGGUCUUGUAACACAGUGGUUAAGAAUGUGACUUUGGAGCCAGCCUGCUAGGGGCUGAAUUCUGACUCAGCCAUUUAUUAACUGUGUGACCUUAGGGAGGAGGACCUGGUUGAUAGAAGAAUUUAUCUCAUAGUCUUAACAUCCACUGUAAUUCCGAACUUUGAGGACGAUAGAGAUCAGUGGGCUUUGACUGCCCAGCAUGCAGUCUCCAUU
rnacentral:antisense_RNA from 1 species